rnacentral:sRNA from 12 species
CAGUGAGUAAGUCCCUCUUGAAAAGAAUGAGGCUACUUUGGUGUGGUGUGACGAAGUAAAGAGGGCUUCACUC